GCGGACAUAGCUCAGUUGGUAGAGCAUUAGCUUCCCAAGCUAAGGGUCGCGGGUUCGAAUCCCGUUGUCCGCUCCA
rnacentral:tRNA from 5 species